rnacentral:rRNA from 1 species
UACAGAGGGUGCAAGCGUUAAUCGGAUUUACUGGGCGUAAAGGGCGCGUAGGCGGUCAUGCAAGUGAGAUGUGAAAUCCCUCGGCUUAACCGAGGAACUGCGCCCAAAACUACCAUGCUCGAGGAAGAUAGAGGUGAGCGGAACUUACGGUGGAGCGGUGAAAUGCGUUGAUAUCGUAAGGAACACCCGUGGCGAAAGCGGCUCACUGGGUCGUUUCUGACGCUGAUGCACGAAAGCUAGGGGAGCAAACGGG